GAACCCUUGGCGCAGCGGUAGCGCGUGAGAUUCCAGUGUAAUCCUCCUUGGGAUUCGCCGGUUUCCUCAAGGUCAUCCGUUCAAAUCGGGUAGGGUUCA